rnacentral:rRNA from 1 species
AGGACGAACGCUGGCGGCGUGCUUAACACAUGCAAGUCGAACGGUGAACCAGGGCUUGCCCUGGGAAUCAGUGGCGAACGGGUGAGUAACACGUGAGCAACCUGCCCCUGGCUCUGGGAUAACCCCGGGAAACCGGAGCUAAUACCGGAUACGAGACCGAUUGGCAUCUUUACGGUCUGGAAAGUUUUUCGGCCAGGGAUGGGCUCGCGGCCUAUCAGCUUGUUGGUGGGGUAACGGCCCACCAAGGCGACGACGGGUAGCCGGCCUGAGAGGGCGACGGGCCACGACUGGGACUGGAGACACGGCCCAGACUCCUACGGGAGGCAGCAGUGGGGAAUGUUGCGCAA